AUGAGAUUACAGAGAACUCAGCCUCCCCUCCUCGGUCUUAUGGGCAGAGAACAGAAAAAGAGCUUGUCGACUGGUUGCAACUGCAAGGAGCGGAUACGAAAACAAUUGAAAAGAUUCUUGAAGAAGGUUACACUUUCUGAUAUUCUUAAUGAUAUCACUAAGGAAGACCUAAGGUACCUUAGACUACGGCUCUGGACUGCAGCCUCCCAGUACGGAAGACAGGCUCAGGGGGCCCCGGCAACCCAAGAUGAGGCUUAAUCAAUCAGCUAAGCCAGGGGACACAGGGAGCAAGGAGCUGACAACAUACCCACGAAUUCUGCUGCACUUACGCAAGGAAAACACCACUUGUUCAAUGAACAAUUUAAGAACUUGAAGUUUUAAAGGAUUAUGGAAAAAAUUUUAACCUUUUAUUUAUCAACAUGUUUUCAAGGUGAGUAGAACUUGUAUGUAUUGUGACAACAGUGAUUGUAAAACCUGGUCUUGACAUCCCAGAGUAUUAGGGAAUCCUUAAAAAUGAAUUUUCAUUUGGAAAAAUAUCUGCUGGAAAGGUGAAACAACAGGUGUUUAAAAUAACAAAAAGGCUGGGAAUCACUGUUUUAGAUCACGCAUUCCAUACAUUACUAUUAACUGGAAUUGCACUUAAAAUUCAAAAAAGAUAAAAUUGCUAAGAAUAUGCCUUGUAUUAAUGUUUGAUAUGACUGUAAAUAGAAAACUAUUAAGAAAAUAGCUUCAUAUUGAUAAUGUAUAAAUGGAGAAAACUAACUUAUUUAUUUGGCCUCUAAAAUGAAGUAGUCUUAUUUAAAAAUCGAAUUGUCCUUCCACCCCUGCCUGGUUAUAAUAAAUAUUGUGUUUUAUUAAGGAGUAACUUAUUUAUUUGGCCUCUAAAAUGAAGUAGUCUUAUUUAAAAAUCGAAUUGUCCUUCCACCCCUGCCUGGUUAUAAUAAAUAUUGUGUUUUAUUAAGGAGAAAUGAUGGUUCAGUGUGAACAGGCUUCAGCACCGACGUGCACACAAAUGGGGGCGUGUGUGCACGUUAGGGUACACCAGGUAAGCUGCUGGGCACUGGGAGGGACAGGACAAUGAUCGCCCCACAAAAAGGUGGCAGAGUUGGACAGGCAUAUAAGGAAUUGUUUCUCCUUUUAGUAACUAAAAAAGUAUUUGUUAAACUAGUAUACAACUAAACCAAAUAGAACUAUUUUAAAGAAGUAAUUUGAAGGAGGGUCAAGCAAACUCUUAUUACCUAUUUUAGACGUACAUAACUAAAAUAACCUUUAUAAUAAGAUCCAUACUAUCCUUAAGAUAUAACAUUAAAAGACGUUGUACCUUUUAAUGCAACACUGUACAAACCACAUGCAAUUAUACUAUCUAUCUAUCUAAAUCUACACUUUCUUUCUAUGGGUUUUUUUUCCUCCUUAACAAAGUUGAGAACCCAAAGCAUUCCUUACAGUUGCUGCCGAAUAGCCCCAC
rnacentral:lncRNA from 1 species